UACAGAGGUCUCAAGCGUUGUUCGGAUUCAUUGGGCGUAAAGGGUGCGUAGGCGGCGCGGUAAGUCGGGUGUGAAAUCUCGGAGCUUAACUCCGAAACUGCAUUCGAUACUGCCGUGCUUGAGGACUGGAGAGGAGACUGGAAUUCAUGGUGUAGCAGUGAAAUGCGUAGAGAUCAUGAGGAAGACCAGUGGCGAAGGCGGGUCUCUGGACAGUUCCUGACGCUGAGGCACGAAGGUCAGGGGAGCAAACAGG
rnacentral:rRNA from 1 species